GCAAGUCGAGCGCGCCCUUCGGGGUGAGCGGCGGACGGGUUAGUAACGCGUGGGAACGUACCCUUCUCUACGGAAUAGCCUCGGGAAACUGAGAGUAAUACCGUAUACGCCCUUUGGGGGAAAGAUUUAUCGGAGAAGGAUCGGCCCGCGUUGGAUUAGGUAGUUGGUGGGGUAACGGCCUACCAAGCCUACGAUCCAUAGCUGGUUUGAGAGGAUGAUC
rnacentral:rRNA from 1 species